rnacentral:rRNA from 1 species
GAGCGGAAGGGGGCAAGCGUUGUUCGGAAUUACUGGGCGUAAAGGGCGCGUAGGCGGCCUGAUAAGUCAGACGUGAAAGGCCUGGGCUCAACCUGGGAAUUGCGUUUGGGACUGUUGGGCUGGAGAGCGGGAGAGGAUGGUGGAAUUCCCAGUGUAGAGGUGAAAAUUCGUAGAUAUUGGGAAGAACACCGGUGGCGAAGGCGGCCAUCUGGACCGUAUCUGACGCUGAGGCGCGAAAGCGUGGGGAGCAAACAGGG